rnacentral:rRNA from 1 species
GUAAACGAUGGAUACUCGUUGUUGGGAAUUAAUUCUCAGUGACUAAGCGAAAGUAAUAAGUAUCCCACCUGGGGAGUACGACCGCAAGGUUGAAACUCAAAGGAAUUGACGGGGGCCCGCACAAGCGGUGGAGCAUGUGGUUUAAUUCGAUGAUACGCGAGGAACCUUACCAGGGCUUAAAUGGGAAUUGCUUUAUUUGGAAACAAAUAUUUCUUCGGACAAUUUUCAAGGUGCUGCAUGGUUGUCGUCAGCUCGUGCCGUGAGGUGUCAGGUUAAGUCCUAUAACGAGCGCAACCCCUAUCAUUAGUUGCCAUCGAGUCAAGUCGGGAACUCUAAUGAGACUGCCGGUGCAAACCGAGAGGAAGGUGGGGAUGACGUCAAAUCAUCACGGCCCUUACGUCCUGGGCCACACACGUGCUACAAUGGCCGGUACAGAGGGCAGCUACACAGCGAUGUGAUGCGAAUCUCUAAAGCCGGUCUCAGUUCGGAUUGGAGUCUGCAACUCGACUCUAUGAAGCUGGAAUCGCUAGUAAUCGCAUAUCAGCCAUGAUGCGGUGAAUACGUUCCCGGGCCUUGUACACACCGCCCGUCAAGCCAUGGAAGCUGGGGGUGCCUGAAGUUGGUGACCGUAACAGGAGCUACCUAGGGUAAAACUAGUGACUGGGGCUAAGUCGUAACAAGGUAGCCGUACCGGAAGGUGCGGCUGGAAUAUCUCUUUUUUAGA